UGCUGAUACAGUUAUACCAUUCAUCCCUUUCAGAGCAUGAGCUGUGGAGAGAAAAACAGCAGUUCCCUCAGUCAGGCCUUGCUAUUUCUUUAUGUACAGAUGUACCCUAUGUCAAGGCUUGAAGUUUGACAUCUGGAGGACUACCCAAUUCCACCUUCUAGAUUAAAGCAUCCCUACAUUCAGAAUAGUCCUGACUGUGAUUGGAUCCACCAUGCAGAGACCAGAGAGUUCAUUGUCAGAGUCUGACCCUAUUAACUGCUUACCUGCAUUGAAAAGCUUGGACACAAUCAAUGAGCACAGGCAGGCUGUGUAAUCUCCCACAGUAUGGUAUCUAAAAUGAAUCUAAUGAGACCUUUGUUCCCAUUAAAGUGACAAUGUUGGAUGGCACUUUUGUAUGAAAGGGAUGAGUUUCUAAUGAAUUACUCUCAGUACAUUCACAGCUUCACUACAAUCUCCUAAACCAUCUUAGAUCUCAUGUCUCUGUUUCUGGCUUUGAUAACCAUUGAAAAACAUUAAUUGGUCUGAUAAUCUGCUGAGGCUGCAAACUGCACCCACACUUACUCUGGAGUAAGUUUUACUCCAGAGACUUACUUUUAAAUGAAUAUGCACAAGAUCAAGUUAUUAAGGAGAGCUGGAAAGGAAAUUGAUGGAGUUAAUUUUUGCCCACAAUCAAUUAUUAGGGUGGAAUUAACUCAUUUAUUGAUAUGACAGAUUAAUCCCAAGUGAAAGUAUCUUUUAAACUGGACUCUUGUCCAGCAAAAUGAAAGUCCUCUGUAGAAGCUUUCAAUAUCUGGGGCUGCUUUUCCACCUCACAUAUCUGGUCUACUCACAUAUCUUCUAUUUCUAAGAAAGCUCAAGUAAACAGAUCAGCCAUUUUACGCUUUAGCAUUACCAAAGGGGCUUGGUAUAACAUUGGCUAUUAAAGUUUUUAACACCAAGUCAGCUACCCAGUGGUUGCAUGCAUCCAGCAUCUGGAUUGGUGGGUUAACACUUUAGAUAGACCAGCAACAAUCACAGUUCUUGAGGGCCCUCUUCCAGUUCCCCAGAUAUAUACCAUCCUGUGUCUUGCUGUUCAAAUCCGGAGAAAUCCCCCUGCCAACAAAAGCUUGCUGGUGGGCCCUUAAAUAUUGGAUUAAGGUCAGUGUUUUCAGACUGGGCUCAGGCCUGAUUCACCAUCUAGCCUGGGAUGAUUACACUAGCAACUGUUUAAUGCUAAAAAAGCCUCCUGUUGGCCUUUCUUCAUCUCUCGUAUCGCAUCUGGAUUAUGACAUGGCACUGAAAUCUAUUAAAGACUGUGGAAUAUGGCGUUCUGUGAGCUGCGUUCUCACUCAUAUGUUUCUUGUUCCCCAAGUGCUACACUAUGCUGAGCCUCAUCUUAAAGCAAAUUAUCUUAAGAACUUGACUGUGGCCAAAUACCACUGCCUAUUCUCCAAGGAAAAGUACAAUGUGUUUGCAUCCCUUACAAUGCAAGACUUUGCCCGUAUAAUAACCAGGAUGUUAAAUGUAUGUAUCACAUCUUAUUGUCCUGCAGUUUUUAUAAACAGGCUCGGCUACAUAUUAUUAACCCACUACUGAACAACCUACCCAGUAGAUCAGCCCAAUUCCAUGUAAAGUUUUUAAUAGGUGACAUUUCCUCCAUGUAACCUUGGUUGUUGCCAACUUUCUCUCUGAGGUAGCCAGGGUAAGACAACUUCCUGUAUUAGACCAAGGUUAAAACUUGCCCUGUAUAUUUUUGCAGUGUUUACUCUUGUUCAUAUGCAUUUAGCAUUGCACUUGUCUUGUUUUUAAGUGGUCUUAUCAGUUUAUGAAACUGCUGUGCACUUUCCCUGCUGAGCAAAUUGGGUCUUUGGACUGUAAUAAAAAUUGAUUGAAGUACAAUAUGUAAUAUCCCUUAAUAUGGGAAAUGUUUUUAAAAAAGGUUUCCUUAAAAUGCAUCUCUUUUUUUGGCUGGUACUUAGUUGGAGAAAAAAAUGCUAUUUUAAUUAAAUGACAUGCACAUUUUUUGCUGAAUUAAAAUAGUAAUUAUUUCAUAGAAUCAUAGAAUGGUAGAUUUGGACAAGACCACAAGGGCCAUCCAGUCCAACCCCCGCCUUUGAGUGUCAUCUACAACUUACGGGGACCCCACAAAUUUCAUAGACUUUUCUUAGGUAACUCAAAGGUGGUUUUGCCCAUUCUUCCCUCUAUGGCAUCCAGUAUUCCUUGGCAGACAUUUUGUUGAUGUCCUUGAGCAUUUUUUAAAAAGCACUGGAGAAAAAGCUAUUUUUUCUGGGCUUUCACAUCUCAAGCAAUGUGAUGGUUUGAAGCAUGACUUUGGUAUUAUUUAUCAGAAACACCAGGGACCACUCAUCAGGAAUGAGCUCCAAUUGGAACAUCUUUUUUUCUGGCAAGCAGAGAAUAGUUUCCACCUUUAGAAGAUUCUGUCGUAUUUCUCCUUCUCACAUGCUGUCAUACCUCUCUGAUUCCAAUAAUAUGGGCUACAGGAUUGGGCAUUUAUGUCCCUCCAUAUUUUAGACUGCAUUGCCCAAAUUUCUUCACGUUUGGCAAUGCUGGCUACUGGUGAGGGCUAUAUGCCAGCAUUAUCUAGAGCAGGGCUUUGAAAACUUUUUGACAUCUUGACUCCUUUCCAGCCAAGAAAUGUUUAUAUGACCCCAGAUAUAUAUGUAUAUAAAAUAGGUAUAAAAAUCAUACAUUUACUUAUAACAAAUCAGCAUUUGCAAGGCUUGCUAAACAGGCUAAUUUUUCUUUUUGUGGAGUAUAGCUGAAGCAUUUGCUGUAAACACGGCACAUUGUUGCUAACAAAUUUAUACAAAUGCAUGACAUUCAGAAACCCUUUGCUGUUGCCAAAUUUCUUGGGGCCCCAAAAAUGAGGUAAGGAGACCCCAUUUAGGGUUGGGAGUCACAGUUUAAGAAGAAGUGAAUUAGAAAACCACGGCUGCCUCCCCUUUGCUAAUGGCAUCACAACAAAAUCAGAAAAAAGCAAAGCAACAAAAUAGUCCACAGGUGGGAAUGUAUUCAGCCCUGCAGAAUCACUUUUCUCCCAAUUUAAUGGGAUGGAAAUCCUGUCCUCCCAUCACCAGCGGGCAAGCGCCUACAGACUACGGUUUUUCUCUUUUGUUCACAGGGAAUACAUUACUGAAACAUGGACACUGGAAGUGAUCAAGAAAACCCUGGCUGCCCUUUGUUUUGGCACAUGUUUCAGAAGCAUGCAUUAAAAAUUCCACAACCAGAGGUUCCCGGCUGUGUGGAAGCGUAGGACAUUCUUGGCUCUCUUUUAAGCAGCUGUUUUGAGUUUCCAUCUGGACAAAGUGCAUGGCUUUCCCUUUUAAAAGGUGAAAGAAGUUUGUUUCCUCUUCACAGUCCUGAAAAUCUUAAAUUAUAACUGAGAAAAGGUGAGCCAUAUCUAUCCACCAGACAGACACCGUUGGGUGAAUCUGCUUUGCUGACUCUUGGCAUGCUAUUCUUCCCAGAGACUUUCAUUUUCAAAAGAAUAACAACAUCCUUGACAGAAAAUCCCCAGCUACACAUAGGAACAGGUAAAUUAGUAUGACAGCUUCUACCAUGCAGUCCCCCAGGAACUUCUGAAACAUUGUUUUCCUGUCAGAAAGCCAGAGUUGAAAAGUUUGCAUGUGUGUGUGUCUUUCAUGAACAUCUGGAAGACAAUUUGAAAACCAAGGAAGUAAGUCUUCAUCAGUGGUUCUCAAAUGUUGGUCCUACUUGUUCCUUGGACCUCAACUCGCUGGCUGAGAUUCCUGGGAGUUUAUGUCCAAAACACAUGGAAAACCAAAGUUUGUGAACCAUAGUUGGUCCUGCAAAUUCACUGGGGUCAGGAGUGCAGAACCUCUGUGAAAGUGGAAAAACUUCAAAUAAAAAAACACUUUUCUAGGAAUCUAGGACUUCCAGAAACUCUACAGUCAACCUGUUUUGAAAAUAGACCAUGGAGUUGCACUUGAGGACCUAGGAUAUUGUUUUAAUCAAAUUUGCAAAUAAUGAAUUCUGUAAAUGUGGAGAGCAGACUAUAUUCAUCUAUAAGCUCUUGAAAGAAUCUGAUCUGUAUCUUAGGUUGUAGGAAAAUUAAUGUUACCAAACUGGAACCUAAAGAUCAAUUCAAUUUUCAGAUACAAUGGAAGGUAAAAUGUGUGUAUGUGUGUCAGGGAUCAUUCCUUCCGCUCCUGACAUUUGCUUCUGUUUACUAGCUACUGGACAAUAUGGCAGAUUUGUGCUCAAUAGGGUCAUCAUUUUGCUUAGGGUUUAGUCUGAACUUUAAAGCAACUCUAUUUGGGGGAAAUCCUAUCUCCCAAAUAGAUUUAGAACUUGAAUAGCUCCUUUAAAGUUCAGACUAAAAUCUGGAACAGGGUUCUCAUCAGUCACUAUUGGUUCUGUUUGUACAAUAGACAGAGGAAUGACAAAUAAAGGACAAGACUUUACCUUUUA